rnacentral:rRNA from 1 species
CAUUUAAAGAAAGCGUAAUAGCUCACUGGUCGAGUCGGCCUGCGCGGAAGAUGUAACGGGGCUAAACCAUGCACCGAAGCUGCGGCAGCGAACGUAUCACUUAAAGCGAUUCAGCGGGUUACGAUUGACGGAGCGAAGCGACGUCAAAGCGUAUACAAAGUCGAGUCGGUUUAAGGAUACGUUCGUUGGGUAGGGGAGCGUUCUGUAAGCCUGCGAAGGUGGCCUGUGAGGGUUGCUGGAGGUAUCAGAAGUGCGAAUGCUGACAUAAGUAACGA